UACGUAGGGUGCGAGCGUUUGUCCGGAAUUACUGGGCGUAAAGAGCUCGUAGGUGGUUUGUCGCGUUGUCCGUGAAAACUCACAACUCAAUUGUGGGCGUGCGGGCGAUACGGGGCAGACUGGAGUACUGCAGGGGAGACUGGAAUUCCUGGUGGUAGCGGUGGAAUGCGCAGAGUAUCAGGAGGAACACCGGUGGCGAAGGCGGGUCUCUGGGCAGUGAACUGACGCUGGAGGAGCGAAAGCGUGGGGAGCGAACAGG
rnacentral:rRNA from 1 species